rnacentral:rRNA from 1 species
CGGGUGAGUAACGCGUAUCCAACCUGCCCAUAACUAAGGGAUAAUCCGUAGAAAUGCGGUCUAAUACCUUAUGUGGUCCGAGGAAGACAUCUGAUUUGGAUUAAAGAUUUAUCGGUUAUGGAUGGGGAUGCGUCUGAUUAGAUUGUUGGCGGGGCAACGGCCCACCAAGUCUGCGAUCAGUAGGGGUUCUGAGAGGAAGGUCCCCCACAUUGGAACUGAGACACGGUCCAAACUCCUACGGGAGGCAGCAGUGAGGAAUAUUGGUCAAUGGGCGGGAGCCUGAACCAGCCAAGUAGCGUGCAGGACGACGGCCCUAUGGGUUGUAAACUGCUUUUGCAGGGGGAUAAAGUGAGUCACGUGUGACUUAUUGCAGGUACCCUGCGAAUAAGGACCGGCUAAUUCCGUGCCAGCAGCCGCGGUAAUACGGAAGGUCCGGGCGUUAUCCGGAUUUAUUGGGUUUAAAGGGAGCGUAGGCCGUGGAUUAAGUGUGUUGUGAAAUGUAGGCGCUCAACGUCUGACUUGCAGCGCAUACUGGUCCACUUGAGUGCGCACAACGCGGGCGGAAUUUGUCGUGUAGCGGUGAAAUGCUUAGAUAUGACGAAGAACCCCGAUUGCGAAGGCAGCUCGCGGGAGCGCAACUGACGCUGAAGCUCGAAAGUGCGGGUAUCGAACAGGAUUAGAUACCCUGGUAGUCCGCACGGUAAACGAUGGAUGCCCGCUUUUCGGUCAUUAGACCGUGAGGCCAAGUGAAAACAUUAAGCAUCCCACCUGGGGAGUACGCCGGCAACGGUGAAACUCAA